UACGUAGGGUGCGGGCGUUAAUCGGAAUUACUGGGCGUAAAGCGUGCGCAGGCGGCUCCUUAAGUCAGAUGUGAAAGCCCCGGGCUUAACCUGGGAACUGCGUUUGAAACUGGGGAGCUAGAGUGUGGAAGAGGGGGGUGGAAUUCCAGGUGUAGCAGUGAAAUGCGUAGAGAUCUGGAGGAACACCAGUGGCGAAGGCGA
rnacentral:rRNA from 1 species